GAAAUGCGAUAAGUAAUGCGAAUUGCAGAAUCUAGUGAGUCAUCGAAUCUUUGAACGCAUAUUGCGCCUACUAGCUAUUCUAGUAGGCAUGCCUAUUUGAGCGUCAUUUAAAGCAUUUAUACCCUGUAUACUGUUGGAGAAUAGCGAAUAAACGACGCUAUCUCUAAAAUAAAGAAGCAAGCAAUUCAACUUCUCUUCUUGUAGAGUAAAAGCUACAAAUGCAAGAAGUCGAGGAAAGGAAGGCUUUAAAUAUAAACCUAUAAGUUGACCUCAAAUUAGGUAGGAAUACCCGCCGAACUUAA
rnacentral:rRNA from 1 species